AAACCAAGCAAAGAAUAGCGUAAAAUGAGCUCAAAUCCCUGACCAAAACGCAGCAAACAGUCUGGAAAAAACCGGUUUCUAUUGUCUCCAAAAUAGCUACAAUUUAAGCUCCAUUUUUAGCCCAUGAACACCAAGUUUUUACUAGUAGAAGUGAGCAGAAAAGGUGUAAAAAAAUAGCUCCUAAGCAACCCAGCAGGUCGUCGUUCGAGUCCUUGAGGCCCGAGAUUUCCGUUGAGGUUCCCGGCGAGGUGGAUUCUGAUCUGGUACGCCGGAGUUUGCUGUAACCAAGUUUUUGUUAAUCAUCCCGGCGUUUAGUUUGAUUGCUCGAGGAAUACUUUUAUUCCAAGUUGCUGUUAAUCAUCCAGUUAACUAUUAAUCCAAGUUCAGAGAUUGUUUUGGCUCCAUCGAGGUCCAUUCUUUCCUUUGCUACUAUCUUUCUAUCCUAGAACUAUCUCACGAAAUUUGUUUGCCUUGGUUUCCUUAAAUUGAUUUCCAUGGAUGAACAACUGUUGUGGCAUGUUUGUUGAUUGAAAUGAGCUUGUCUGGUUGUCGUCUUCUUAUUAGAUUAGUUACUGAAAUCAAUUUGUAAUGUUAGUGUUGCCAAACUAAAAUUGGGUUAUUAAUCUUUGAAAAAUCCACUUCGAUCCUAUUAGCCUUGAAAUCAUGAAUUGAAUCACGGGUUUGACUAUUAGAAAUUGAGGCGUGUCAUUUAGUUGAAUUUUUCAUUGCGCUCGCAAAGUUCAAAGUGCGGAGUUACUUUAAGCAUGUUAUUUUAAUAAAAUACCUUUCUAAACUCGGGUGUGUAUUUAUGUGACUAUAUCUGAAUAUCAACAGUGUUAGAUAAAAUAUGUUGUAGACCGUAUGUGCAUUUAUGUGACAUGGGUGUUUUAAAUAACGUUGAAAUUUUUUUCUAAAAAAAUUAAAUAAAAGCGUUUUAAGGUUAAAAUGCAGAUAGAUUAAAAAGUAUUUUAAAAUCAGAUAAUAUGCCAAUUAACAGUUGAGCGACUGUGCUAGAACCACGGAACUAGGGAAUGCCUAAUACCUUCUCCCGAGUUAACAAAAUUCCUUACCCGGAUUUUUGUGCUCGCGGACUGUAAAUCAAAGUCAAUCUUUCCUCAAUUCAGGAUUUGAAACCAGUGACUUGGGACACCAUAAAUUAUUCCAAGUGUUGACUCUGAAUAUAUAAAUAAAUAAUCUCGUUUCAAUUGUCACUUUAAGUUGGAAAAAAACAGCCUUAUACACCCUUUCAGGGGUGUAGGUAAAAAAGGAGGUGUGACAGCUCUGUUGACUCUGCUGGGGAUAAGAACAAAAAAUCUCUGGUAUAGUGCUCAAGAAUUCGAGCUUAGAAUAAUUGUUGUAUUUGACUUUGUUUAUUAUCUGAUUUUAUUACAUGUUCGGCUCUAAUGUGCUAAAUAUUGCUUUUUUCCACUUUGGUAUUGUUUGAACUGUAUAUAUAAACUGCUACGAAAACCCUCUCUUCUCUCUCCUAAGGAGUGCACGCUGGCAUGACUUCUUUCUGUUAGUGUCAUAUCCCAAAUAGGACGAGGUUCGGACAAUCUUUUGGUUACUGGUACGCAGCAACUCCCUCCCUCCCGGCUCGAGCUGUUCACUCGGGUAAGCCAGGUCUACAAAAAAUAAACUCAGGUUUUUAAACUACAACUCAGGAUCAUACCGGAACCGUAGUAGGAACGUUUAUUUUAAUCACGUGCAUUUAACUUAGAGGACUCAACACAGGGGUCGGGUCCAUCUAGGACAGGUGUACCCAAAAUGACAGACCAUCCUAAUGCAUCCUAUGUGCUACAUGUUGCAUUUCUUCAAGGGUAAAGGGGUUAUUUUACGGACCAAUGAUAGUUGAGGUCAAUGAGAAAAAAUAUAAAAAAUAGAAAAAAGAGAGGUUGAAGUGUGAAAAUAAAGUGAGUAGGGAUCGAUAAUGUUUUCUGUCACAUUUUUAUUAAGACAAAGACAAAACAAUGAUGAAAAAUUCAAAAAAAAUUGCAUUUUUCAUAUUUUUUCAAAAAUUAAAAAAAAAAAGAGGGAAUAGAAAAUCCAAAAAGAGUUUACACAUUUCGUCAUUUUCCAAAAUAAAGACAAAAAAUAUGUUUUUUUUAAAUUAGUUGUUUUUUCUAAUUCUCGCCCAUAUCCAAUUUGCUGAACUAUGCAUACCCGAUUCUCAUCUUUCGAGGCGUGAUACGCAGAAAACCCACAUAGGGUCCGAUCUUCCUAGUAAAUCUUAGGUUCUUGGCUUUGUGGGGUCUUCGCCAAAUUUUGCACUUCUAGCCACCUUUUGGCCAAAUACUCCAUUUUGCAAACAUAGCCUAAAUUAUGUCUUGCAUGUUGCCCAACAGAAAGUAUUAUUGUCUCACAUAGUGUACUAGGUCAUUAACUUUAUUUGGUCUAAUUUUUUCAUACAGGUAUGAAUCUGUUUACCGGAGUUUGGGCAUGACUAACACCUUAGGACCAUCCAGCCAGGAGUCUCCUUAAGGAGAUUUUUUUAGUUAUGGUGUUUUGAAUCUGUUGUUCAUUUAAUAUGGUCUUUUAACUUUUAGUUUUGUACGGUAAUGUUGAGUCUUUUGUUAUUGUAUUUCCCAUUUCGUAUGUGAAAAACGUGUUAUAAAUCAAAAAUCUAAAAAAAUGCGUUUUUAUAUUUUCGUUAUAAAUUUUCUUAAGAAUACUAAUUCUAAGAAUUAAGAAAAAAUUCAUUUGAUGUGGUUUUUUCUUUGGGCAAUUAAUAUCUAGAACUUAAAAUAAUUAUUUUUAUAUUUCCUUUAGUAUAUUAGGACUAAUAUUCAAAAAAAUAAUAAUUUUCUUUUAAUACCUUUUUAAAGAUUUUUUUAAGGUAUUAAUUCUAAAAAUUCAAAAAGAUUUUCUUUUGAGUUUCUUCUUUGGAAAUUAAUGAAAAAUGAAUAAAACAAAAAUUCUUUUAGAACUUUGGUAUAUUUUCCAUAAAAGAAAAAAUAUACUUUAUCUUUUGUUUAUCUUUAUCUUGUUCAUUUCUCAUUCCAAAAUCUUUCUUCAAGGAUAUGAAAUGAAAACUAAAUAUUUUUCUUGAAUUAAUUGUUUGGAUUUCCUUCCUGAAAAAGGAAGAAUGACAAAAACUGCUUUUCUCUUGCAGGUUUCUUUUCAUUAAUAAUUCCCCAUAAAGUGUUUGUUUCAAAAAGAAAAUAAAUAAAAAUAUGUGCUCGUUAAGCUUGAGUUUAGAAUAGGUUAUUGAACAUUAAACCAAGAAAAUUCAAAAAGAAAAAUGGGGUUUUGCUUCUUUUGUUUUUCUUUGCUCAUCAGAGUAGCCAUUAAGGUAAUAAAAAGAAAAAAAAAAGAAAAUGAGAAUGCUAGUUUGUUUAUUUUAUUCACAAUCUUCCAGAACUACGCAAAGAUCUAAUUCAUGCGGCGUCGUGAUACGUAGGCAACCUAUAUAUAGUUCGAUUGAAUUAAUUUUUUAAAUAAAAAAAUCAAAAAUAAAAAAACACAACAAAGAAAAAGGGAAAGAGAGAUGAAAUUAUGGGAUGUGGGAAAUGAGCGAAAAGAAAAGAGUGAUAAUCAAAAGGAAAAAGAGGAAGGAAAAUGAGCUAGCAAGUGCCAGACAAGGAAAGAAAAGAGAAGAUUGAAAUGAAUAAAUUGAGAUGAUGUCAUAUGACCUUCAUACCUUCGAAGUCAUGUUAAAAUCAAAAAUUGUGACUAGGUGCAUUGUACGCGAUGUGAUAUUUUAGUUGUUAAAUGCCCUAACUCUAACAUAUCUCCUUUUGUUUCUUUUGUUAUAAAACAGAAAAGGGUGGUUGGCUUGUGGUUUUUAAAGUGGUAACUUUUCUUUGCAACAUAGAUUUGAAAGGCAAUGGUAGAUGACAACAGAACUAAGUUGGUUGAUACGGUGCCCAAAAACAAUUGGCCGAACAGGACCAUGGGUUGGUUGAAGAGGUGCGGAUGUUAAGACAACACAUGAUGGACAUGUAUCAGGCCUGGAUGUAUGGGAAGGCACCACCCUUGCCACCACCUUCUUAGAUGCUACCCUUACCCAAACUCCGGUCAUAGUGCCGGAUGAUCCCUCAUACUCUCCAGAUCCACCCGCUUAUCACAGCUUUCCCAACCACCCUUGUAGCUCCACACUCGUCCUCCAAUUGCAUCUUCCCAAAAUUGACCUCCGGUCAUAUCCGCUAUCCCCAACAAU
rnacentral:lncRNA from 1 species